GGUCAGUGAUGAUAGGUAAAAGGUCUGAUGGCACUUUAUUAAAUACCCACAUACUCGCUCCCAGGCACAUCUGCAUUUUCCAUCCUGCACUAGAUGGGUUGUGAUGGUAGCAGAGUUCCUGACAGUAACCGCUGCUGCUGUUUUAGUUGACAUUCACGUAGAGAUUUGGAAUGUCUUUACAGCAGGCAUCUCACAAAAUUGGAUACACAGGAGUGUUUGAGUGUUGUGGGAUUUAUCUCUGGUGCAUGACCGCAAGUUUUCAAGCUGAGACC